rnacentral:rRNA from 1 species
GAUGAACGCUGGCGGCGUGCCUAAUACAUGCAAGUCGAGCGACCAGAUAAGGAGCUUGCUCCUUUGCCGUUAGCGGCGGACGGGUGAGUAACACGUGGGUAACCUACCUCUAAGACUGGGAUAACUUCGGGAAACCGGAGCUACUACCGGCUCAUAUUUCGAACCGCAUGGUUCGAUAGUGCAAGAUGGUUUUGCUAUCACUUAUAGAUGGACCCGCGUCGUAUUAGCUAGUUGGUAAGGUAACGGCUUACCAAGGCGACGAUACGUAGCCGACCUGAGAGGAUGAUCAGCCACACUGGAACUGAGACACGGUCCAGACUCCUACGGGAGGCAGCAGUGGGGAAUAUUCCGCAAUGGGCGAAAGCCUGACGGAGCAACGCCGCGUGGGUGAUGAAGGUCUUCGGAUCGUAAAACUCUGUUAUUGGGGAAGAACAGACGUGUAAGUAACUGUGCACGUCUUGACGGUACCUAAUCAGAAAGCCACGGCUAACUUCGUG